AACGAGCGCUGGCGGCAUGCCUAACACAUGCAAGUCGAACGAGACUUUCGGGUCUAGUGGCGCACGGGUGCGUAACGCGUGGGAACCUGCCCUUAGGUUCGGAAUAACUCCCCGAAAGGGGUGCUAAUACCGGAUAAUGUCUUCGGACCAAAGAUUUAUCGCCUUUGGAUGGGCCCGCGUUGGAUUAGCUAGUUGGUAGGGUAAAAGCCUACCAAGGCGACGAUCCAUAGCUGGUCUGAGAGGAUGAUCAGCCACACUGGGACUGAGACACGGCCCAGACUCCUACGGGAGGGAGCAGUGGGGAAUAUUGGACAAUGGGCGAAAGCCUGAUCCAGCAAUGCCGCGUGAGUGAUGAAGGCCUUAGGGUUGUAAAGCUCUUUUACCCGGGAUGAUAAUGACAGUACCGGGAGAAUAAGCUCCGGCUAACUCCGUG
rnacentral:rRNA from 1 species